rnacentral:rRNA from 1 species
CCUACGGGCGGCAGCAGUAGGGAAUUUUCGUCAAUGGGCGCAAGCCUGAACGAGCGAUGCCGCGUGAGUGAAGACGGCCUUCGGGUCGUAAAGCCCUGUUGCGGGGGAAAAAAAGCAGCAUCAGGAAAUGGGUGCUGACUGAUGGUGCCCCGCCGGAAAGGCACGGCUAAAUACGUGCCAGCAGCCGCGGUAAUACGUAGGUGGCGAGCGUUAUCCGGAAUGAUUGGGGGUAAAGGGGGCGGAGGCGGUCCUUCAAGUCUGGAGUGAAACGGAUGAGCACAACCCAUGCAUGGCUUUGGAAACUGGAUGACUGGAGAGCAGGAGAGGGAGGUGGAACUCCAUGUGUAGCGGUAAAAUGCGUAGAUAUAUGGAAGAACACCAGUGGCGAAGGCGGCCGCCUGGCCUGUUGCUGACGCUGAGGCACGAAAGCGUGGGGAGCAAAUAGGAUUAGAUACCCGGGUAGUC